CUGGCUCAGGACGAACGCUGGCGGCGCGCCUAACACAUGCAAGUCGAACGAGCGAGAGAGAGCUUGCUUUCUCGAGCGAGUGGCGAACGGGUGAGUAACGCGUGAGGAACCUGCCUCAAAGAGGGGGACAACAGUUGGAAACAACUGCUAAUACCACAUAAGCCCACGACCCGGCAUCGGGUUGAGGGAAAAGGAGCAAUCCGCUUUGAGAUGGCCUCGCGUCCGAUUAGCUGGUUGGUGAGGUAACGGCCCACCAAGGCGACGAUCGGUAGCCGGACUGAGAGGUUGAACGGCCACAUUGGGACUGAGACACGGCCCAGACUCCUACGGGAGGCAGCAGUGGGGAAUAUUGCACAAUGGGGGGAACCCUGAUGCAGCGACGCCGCGUGGAGGAAGAAGGUCUUCGGAUUGUAAACUCCUGUUGUUGAGGAAGAUAAUGACGGUACUCAACAAGGAAGUGACGGCUAACUACGUGCCAGCAGCCGCGGUAAAACGUAGGUCACAAGCGUUGUCCGGAAUUACUGGGUGUAAAGGGAGCGCAGGCGGGAAGACAAGUUGGAAGUGAAAUCUAUGGGCUCAACCCAUAAACUGCUUUCAAAACUGUUUUUCUUGAGUAGUGCAGAGGUAGGCGGAAUUCCCGGUGUAGCGGUGGAAUGCGUAGAUAUCGGGAGGAACACCAGUGGCGAAGGCGGCCUACUGGGCACCAACUGACGCUGAGGCUCGAAAGUGUGGGUAGCAAACAGGAUUAGAUACCCUGGUAGUCCACACCGUAAACGAUGAUUACUAGGUGUUGGAGGAUUGACCCCUUCAGUGCCGCAGUCAACACAAUAAGUAAUCCACCUGGGGAGUACGACCGCAAGGUUGAAACUCAAAGGAAUUGACGGGGGCCCGCACAAGCAGUGGAGUAUGUGGUUUAAUUCGACGCAACGCGAAGAACCUUACCAAGUCUUGACAUCCCUUGACGAACAUAGAAAUAUGUUUUCUCUUCGGAGCAAGGAGACAGGUGGUGCAUGGUUGUCGUCAGCUCGUGUCGUGAGAUGUUGGGUUAAGUCCCGCAACGAGCGCAACCCUUACUGUCAGUUACUACGCAAGAGGACUCUGGCAGGACUGCCGUUGACAAAACGGAGGAAGGUGGGGAUGACGUCAAAUCAUCAUGCCCUUUAUGACUUGGGCUACACACGUACUACAAUGGCGUUAAACAAAGAGAAGCAAGACCGCGAGGUGGAGCAAAACUCAGAA
rnacentral:rRNA from 1 species